CAGCAGCCGCGGUAAUACGUAGGUGGCAAGCGUUGUCCGGAAUUAUUGGGCGUAAAGGGCUCGCAGGCGGUUUCUUAAGUCUGAUGUGAAAGCCCCCGGCUCAGCCGGGGAGGGUCAUUGGAAACUGGGAAACUUGAGUGCAGAAGAGGAGAGUGGAAUUCCACGUGUAGCGGUGAAAUGCGUAGAGAUGUGGAGGAACACCAGUGGCGAAGGCGACUCUCUGGUCUGUAACUGACGCUGAGGAGCGAAAGCGUGGGGAGCGAACAGGAUUAGAUACCCCUGUAGUCCCUGUCUCUUAUAC
rnacentral:rRNA from 1 species